CGAGCACACAACGCUUUUCCAGAAACAGCCCAGCUCUUUCCCACCCCUGAUGCCUCUUGCUCCCGCCCAGGAACCCCGGUCCUCAGAAUCCCCCGAGGAAGGGAACCGCUGUGCACGGAGACGACAAGAGCCCGCCAGCCGGAACGCUUCGCAGGGUGGGCCGACCAAGAUGCGACAGGCCGACAGCUCAGCUCAGGUCCCCGUCCCCCGGCCAUGGGGCUCCCUGGGCCACAGAGCGGGUUCGAGCCCAGGGCGGGGGGAGCACAGCCUCGGGCCAGAGCCUGGCCCACGCCCUCACAGAGGUCCCGUGGGCAAUAACAGUGCAAAGUACACAUGGUUGGUGGCACUGUAAGGUGGCCAAGGGCCGAAAAGGGACCCGUCAUCCUGAACUCUCCUCUCUGCUGAGUUAAGUCCAAGCGCAACUGGAGAUGCUGACCUAUUAAAAUGGAGGCGUCUUCAGAUGGAAGCAAACAAAACACCGUGAGGGGACCAUGCAGCUGUCACCUCAGGGGGGUGAGCCCAGGCUCAGGGACCCUCGCUUGGUCUCCCUGAGGGUUAAGGCAAGAGGGGAGAAGAAACACGUUUCCAGAUGCUUUUCCGUUGCGCGGCACCUCCUGCAGCACCUGCCUUUGCAUCGGGGCACUGCCGUUCAGCCCGAAGGUCGCCGUCAGGCUGGCUCUGCUGGCCGUGAAGAAGUCCAUCGGAGCUCAGCUGGAACUGCAUCUGCCCCUCACUUCUGAUUUCUGGUUUUGCUGGAUACAGAAUUCCUGGCUGGAGGGUUUCCUGCCUCCUGGCCCCUGUUUCUUUUUCGCCAUACCCACGGCAUGUGAAAGUUCCUGGGCCAGAGACUGAACCCGAGCGGCAGCAGAGAAAACACCAGACCUUAACCCGCUGUGCCACAGUGGGCAUUCCUGGCCCCGCUGCUUCUGAGGAGAAGCCCCUAUGGACAGCACGGAGCCCCUCGCAGGCCCCUCGCUGCUGCCCUUCACGAACUUCUCAUUGCUUCGCCCGUGUGACUGGAACGUGUCUCUCUACUUAUCCGACUUGGGCUUCACUGAGCUUCUCAGAUGUACAGAUAAAUGUUUUUCAUCAAAUUUGGGGAGUUUUUAGAGUUCCCUGGUGGUCUAGCAGUUAAGGAUCCAGAGCUGUCACUGCUAAGGCUCAGGUCACUGCUGUGGCUUGGGUUUGAUCCCCAGCCCGGGAAUUUCUGCAGGCCAUGGCUGUGGUCAAAUAAAAAAUCGAGGAAG